CGCUAUCACUCCUACGGGAGGCAGCAGUGGGGAAUAUUGCACAAUGGGGGAAACCCUGAUGCAGCCAUGCCGCGUGUGUGAAGAAGGCCUUCGGGUUGUAAAGCACUUUCAGUAGGGAGGAAGGUAGUGUAGUUAACACCUGCACUAUUUGACGUUACCUACAGAAGAAGCACCGGCUAACUCCGUGCCAGCAGCCGCGGUAAUACGGAGGGUGCGAGCGUUAAUCGGAAUUACUGGGCGUAAAGCGCAUGCAGGCGGCCUGUUAAGUCAGAUGUGAAAGCCCGGGGCUUAACCUCGGAAUUGCAUUUGAAACUGGCAGGCUAGAGUCUUGUAGAGGGGGUAGAAUUUCAGGUGUAGCGGUGAAAAUGCGUAGAGAUCUGAAGGAAUACCAGUGGCGAAGGCGGCCCCCUGGACAAAGACUGACGCUCAGAUGCGAAAAGCGUGGGGAGCAAACAGGAUUAGAUACCCUGGUAG
rnacentral:rRNA from 1 species